ACGCAAUAGAUACCCAGGUAGUCCACGCCCUAAACGAUGCAUAUUUGGUGUGGGCCAUUCAUUUGGUCCGUGCCGGAGCUAACGCGUUAAAUAUGCCGCCUGGGGAGUACAGUCGCAAGGCUGAAACUCAAAGGAAUUGACGGGGGCCCGCACAAGCGGUGGAGCAUGUGGUUUAAUUCGACGCAACGCGAAGAACCUUACCUGGGCUCGAAAUGCUGCUGACCAGCUUACGAAAGUAGGCCUUCCCGCAAGGGACAGUAGUAUAGGUGCUGCAUGGCUGUCGUCAGCUCGUGUCGUGAGAUGUUGGGUUAAGUCCCGCAACGAGCGCAACCCUUGUCCUGUGUUGCCAUCAUUUAGUUGGGAACUCGCAGGAGACCGCCAGGGAUAACCUGGAGGAAGGUGGGGAUGUCGUCAAGUCCUCAUGGCCUUUAUGUCCAGGGCUACACACGUGCUACAAUGGACGGUACAAAGCGCUGCCAACCCGCGAGGGGGAGCCAAUCGCAAAAAACCGUUCUCAGUUCGGAUUGCAGG
rnacentral:rRNA from 1 species